rnacentral:lncRNA from 1 species
GAAAUGAAAGCCCGGAAACCCCGGAACUAGAACUGGUAUCUCUUCAACUACCUGUGAAAACUGAUGUGAUGAAAAGGGGAAUUUGAAGGAGCCAUUCCAGAAGACAGGGCGAAAACUGAAGUGCAAUCAGGGCCAAGAAAAACAGAAAUAGCAGGACCUGGAGUUGCAUAGGUUGAAUAGUUGAAUAGGCUGCUCUCCUCAGCUGGCAGGAAACCUGGCAGCCUCCUGGUGCCCAAGGACUGAAAACCUUAGAAGCACCUGGAGUUGGCAGCCUUGGCAUGGUCAGGUUGGCACCUCUGGAGGUGCCCAGGCUUCCCUGGCAGCAUUGUGAGCAGUGGAUGGUGUUGAAGGGCAGCCAGAGGAGGAAUGGAACACAUGCUCCUUGCUAACCACACGGACAAGGCCACGUUCACAGGUACACAAAGGCAACGCAGUUGCUCAGGUGCUUCGGUAUCACAGCCAAGACCCCUUCGGGGGAAGCUAGUCGGAUACUGGGACCCACAUUCCAGACUACUGAGCCGCGGUCGCGCCCUCGGCUCCGUUUCUGCUCCCUCCACCCCACGAGGACGGGGGUGGAAGGCCACCUUCGAUGGGUGCAUCCUCCACGAUGACCUGCUAACAAAGGUGCAUGGAUUUCAGAGUCUGAUUGGCCUACAACAGCAUUUGGCUUGUGGAGACAGUGGUUCCCUGAUGAAAAACUGCCAUGAUGAAAAGGACAACAACCUGUGUGGGUUCCCUCCCGACAACUGAAAUUGCACCAUAACUCCCAAGAAGAAACACUCCCAGAAACAAAAGGCAAAGACCCCUCUGAAACCAAAGAGCAAGUAUCACCGCCUGACACAUAAACUUCAUGACCUCGACAUUGAGACAAAAUCUCGCCGUGUGACCUACAACACCACUCAUUUAACUCCACCAACUUGGGGUCAAAUAAAGGUCUUAUCCCAUCAACAGAAAAAUCAUUAAGAGAAAAAUGAAUCCCCAAAACGACAGGUAAUAUAAUUCUGGCUGCCUUUAUGGUAGUCAGUGCAGUGGUGAGUAUACCACCAGUUUGGGCAACUCAAAAUUAUACCUACUGGGCAUGUGUUCUUUUCCCCCUUUAAUUCAGUCUGUCUCCUGGAUGGACUCCUCAGUAGAAGUUUACACUAAUAAUAGUGCAUUCAUGCCGGUCCCUAAUGAUGAUAGGUUUCCAGCUCAACCAGAAUAAGAAGGUAUGCACUUUAAUCUGUCAAUUGGCUAUAAAUAUCCACCACUAUGCACUGGGAUGUCGCCUGGCUGUUUAGUUUAUUCUUACCAGAAUUGGAUGUGGACAGUACCGUCCUUUACAAAUGAUUCUUAUCAAGUACAUAAUGUGUUCAGUAGCAAUUCUUUUCAACUUCUGUUAAACUUAAUCCACAAGAGGAAUGGUGGGUUCUGGUCACUACUAACAGCAAUAAAACAAAAGGACUGCCAGACUGCCCAAAGGAAUCUACAAAGGGACCUUUUCUGGUGAAUUCAAUUUUAUGGAAUAAUUGUAAUGCCAUUAUUGGCGGGAUUGCUCCAGCCAGAAUACGACAUGCUCAGAGUUCAAUUAUUUGUUACAAUAUUAGAGGACGGAUGGCAGUCCUACAGGUUGAGAGAAUGGGUGUCUCCUUACCCAUUCAAAUGGAUGAACACAGGCAUUGUUCCUUCUAGACCAAAAAUGAUUCAUCCCAUUGUUACCCCAGAACAUCCUGAAUUAUGGAAAUUAGCUGCAGCUAUGACAGGAAUAAGGAUAUGGAGUGCUACCUAUCAACUCUCUCCCACUAAUAUCAAAACACCCACAUUCAACAUCACCUUGAUGUCUGAACAGGUGAUACGUAUCAGGAGCUGUGUCAAACCCCCUUACAUGCUGUUGGUUGGAAAUAUAAUUAUCAUUCCCAAUACACAAAAUAUAGAAUGUGAUAAUUGUAAGCUGUUCAUGUGCAUUGAUGCUACUUUUAAUCCCACAACAAGUAUUCUAUUCGUAAGGGCUAGGGAGGGGGUAUGGAUACCAGUUUCUUUACAUCAUCCAUGGGAGUCUUCCCCCUCUAUACACAUAGUCAAUGAAGUUCUUAAAGGUAUCCUGAAAAGAACAAAGUGAUUUAUUUUUACUGUUAUUGUAGUCAUUGCAGGUCUAAUUGCGGUUUCUGCAACAGUGGCAACCGCUGGAGUUGAGAUCCACAGUUCUGUUCAAACCACUCAAUAUGUUGAAGCAUGGCAAAAAAACUCCUCCAGACUUUGGAAUUCUCAGACUCAAAUUGAUCAAAAGUUAGCUAAUCAAAUUAAUUAUCUCCACCAAAGUGUAAUAUGGCUGGGAGAUACAGUUAUGAAUUUGGAACACCGUAUGCAAUUACAAUGUGAUUGGAAUACUUCUGAUUACUGUAUAACACCUUAUGCUUAUAAUAAAGAUCAGCAUAGCUGGGAAUCGGUCUCAAGACAUUUAAAAACCUGGGAUGAUAACUUAACCUUGGAUAUUUCAAAACUUAAAGAACAAAUUUUUGAGGCUUCACAGGCUCAUUUAUCCACUGUUCUGGGCUCAGACAUUUUUGAAGGAAUAGCUAAAGAAUUAUCUGAUCUUAAUCCCUUUAAAUGGAUCAAACCCCUCAGAGGAUCAUUGUUGUCACUGGCAUUAUUAAUAUUGGUAUGCUUAUGUUGUCUACUUUUAGUCUGCAGAUCCCGCAAGGAAUCCGAAGACAAGUCCAAAGUCAACGACAAGCAAUGAUGGCAAUGGUGAUCCUAGUUAAUAAAAAGCGGGGAGAUGUGGGUGGCAAGCCACCCAGGUGCCGAGGCAAGAGACCGAGAGCACGAGCUGUUCCAGUGUAAUAAAAUAUAUAAAAUAACAAGAGUUAUACUGAUAUAGCUCAUAGAUAUGAUUAUAUAUAAAU